rnacentral:rRNA from 1 species
AUAUUGCACAAUGGGCGCAAGCCUGAUGCAGCCAUGCCGCGUGUAUGAAGAAGGCCUUCGGGUUGUAAAGCACUUUCAGCGGGGAGGAAGGGAGUAAAGUUAAUACCUUUGCUCAUUGACGUUACCCGCAGAAUAAGCACCGGCUAACUCCGUGCCAGCAGCCGCGGUAAUACGGAGGGUGCAAGCGUUAAUCGGAAUUACUGGGCGUAAAGCGCACGCAGGCGGUUUGUUAAGUCAGAUGUGAAAUCCCCGGGCUCAACCUGGGAACUGCAUCUGAUACUGGCAAGCUUGAGUCUCGUAGAGGGGGGUAGAAUUCCAGGUGUAGCGGUGAAAUGCGUAAAGAUCUGGAGGAAUACCGGUGGCGAAGGCGGCCCCCUGGACAAAGACUGACGCUCAGGUGCGAAAGCGUGGGGAGCAAACAGGAUUAAAUACCCUGGUAGUCCACGCCGUAAACGAUGUCUACUUGGAGGUUGUGCCCUUGAGGCGUGGCUUCCGGAGCUAACGCGUUAAGUCGACCGCCUGGGGAGUACGGCCGCAAGGUUAAAACUCAAAUGAAUUGACGGGGGCCCGCACAAGCGGUGGAGCAUGUGGUUUAAUUCCAUGCAACGCGAAGAACCUUACCUGG